CAGGGCUCUGCUUCUCCGGGCCCUUUGCUGCCCUGGGGCAGCCAUCAGUCGUGCCCUGUCUAGACCCCAGGACAAGCGUGUAGUCUGAGCUGGCUGGCUCUGGGAAGGGCAGGGGUGCCCACUGGUGUGGAUGGAUGCCGAGGGUCUCGUAGACGACUAUCUCCCCAAGUUCUGGAGCCUGAUUCGCUUCACGGGAGGCAGAACCCAGAAUGAAUACAAGAACCAGUUUGAGGUCAGAUCUUCCAGGCCUUUGCCACGGCUGUUCCCUCCCUCAAAAUGCUGUUCCUCCAUUCUCUUCCUGCCAGACGCCUCUCCUUAAACUUUACAGCUUCUUCAAGGUGUCUGCUCAAGUAUCAUCUCCUCCUGGCCUGGCUGUCUAAAAUACUCCCCUCCAUCACCACCAAACCCUCUACCUAUUUUAUUUUCCUUCGUUGUAGGCGUUACUAUCUAACAUAUUAUAUAUUAUCAGUAUAUUUGUCCUGAUCUGGUUUGCUGCUCAGUGUUUAACAACUGGCUGUCAGCAAGGGGGAGCUCUGAUUUUACCUUUUGCCAAUUUUUGUGGUGU